rnacentral:misc_RNA from 1 species
AAAGUCGUAACAAGGUUUCCGUAGGUGAACCUGCGGAAGGAUCAUUCACAAUUAGUGUUUAAUGGCACUUUCAAUCCAUUACCCACCUUGUGUGCAUUGUCGGGAGGACUUUAUUCUCUUCUCCUCUUUCAGAGGGCGGAGGGAUGAGGUUCUCUUUUCAUACAUUCACUUUCUUCAGUAUUUGUCUAAUUUUUUAAGAGUAUAAAACUCGAAUACAACUUUCAACAACGGAUCUCUUGGCUCUC